rnacentral:rRNA from 1 species
GUCUACGGCCAUACCACCCUGAACGCGCCCGAUCUCGUCUGAUCUCGGAAGCUAAGCAGGGUCGGGCCUGGUUAGUACUUGGAUGGGAGAAUAUAAUCAGUGGUAUCGUAACA